rnacentral:lncRNA from 1 species
UUUUUCUUCAUUUUUUUUUUUUUUUUUCUUUUUUUUUCUUUUUUUUUCUUUUUUUUUUUUCUUUUGUGCUACUUUUUUUUAGACCCUUUUCCAAAGUUUCUAGAACUGAUAAAGGAGUUUCUGCUCGCCUGAAUGCGAUAACAUUAAGAUUAAAAAUUAAACAUUCCCACUUACCUAUCACUGAUAUUCAAAAAAUAUAUGUUAAAGAAUUAAAUAAACAACUUAAAGAUAUACAAAUUGUUGAUAUUCAAAGUGUUCCAAAUUUUUUUGAUGCCCGCUUGAAUUGUAUGCAUAGAACAUAUACUUAUUUCUUUAUUAACAAAAAUUAUAACAUAGAAUUAAUGAGAGAAGCAGCGAAACUGUUUUUAGGGGAGCACAAUUUCACAAAUUUUUGUAAACGAAGAAAAAGUAAAACAUGUUUCAUGUAAGAGUAACGAAAUAAUAAAAUAUCU